UACGGAGGGUGCGAGCGUUGUUCGGAAUCACUGGGCGUAAAGGGCGUGUAGGCGGUCCGCUAAGUCUGAUGUGAAAGCCCGGGGCUCACCCCCGGAAGGGCAUUGGAAACUGGCGGACUCGAGUCCCGGAGAGGAAGGUGGAAUUCCUGGUGUAGCGGUGAAAUGCGUAGAUAUCAGGAGGAACACCGGUGGCGAAGGCGGCUCUCUGGACGGUGACUGACGCUGAGACGCGAAAGCGUGGGGAGCAAACAGG
rnacentral:rRNA from 1 species